rnacentral:rRNA from 1 species
AGAGUUUGAUCAUGGCUCAGGAUGAACGCUGGCGGCGUGCCUAAGACAUGCAAGUCGAGUGGGUUUAGACCCACGCGAACGGGUGAGUAAUACCUAGGAACGUAUCUUUAGUUGAGCAUAUCCCGUCGAAAGACGGUGUAAUACUCAAUGUGAUCGCAAGAUUAAAGUCGCAAGACGCUAAAGAAGCGGCCUGGGCACCAUCAGCUAGUUGGUAGGGUAAAGGCCUACCAAGGCUAUGACGGUUAGGGGCCCCGAGAGGGGGAACCCCCACACUGGAACUGCGACACGGUCCAGACUCCUACGGGAGGCAGCAGUUUGGAAUUUUGCACAAUGGGCGAAAGCCUGAUGCAGCGACGCCGCGUGGACGAUGAAGGCCUUCGGGUUGUAAAGUCCUUUUGCUCGGGAACAAUUUUUGAGCGUACCGAGAGAAUAAGAGGUUGCUAACUCUGUGCCAGCAGCAGCGGUAAUACAGAGACCUCAAGCGUUAUCCGGAAUCAUUGGGCGUAAAGCGUACCGAUAGGUGGUUUACAAAGUCAGAAGUGAAAUCUCUCAGCUUAACUGGGAGAAUGUCUUUUGAAACUUGUAAACUAGAGGGGCAAAGAGGAAGCUGGAACGAACGGUGUAGUAGUGAAAUGCGUUGAUAUCGUUCGGAACACCAAUAGCGUAGGCGGCUUCUGGGUGCCACCUGACACUGCUAGGACGAGAGCGUGGGGAGCGAAUGGGAUUAGAUACCCUAGUAGUCC